AUGCAGAGAUCUCUCGCUGUUGGCAUUAAGUCUGAGAACAAUGGCAAGCGGGAUUACACUGGAACUGGUACUGUUCCAUCCUUGCAUAAGCAAGAUAGCAAGAUACUGACCAAAAAGACCAUAAAGUUGUUGGAUGCACCACCUUGUCCAAAAAGGCCAAAGCUAGAGCCAACUCAAACCACUAGAGGUGCUGAAGUUAAGGGCCAUGAAUCGCUGCCACAUAAGAUUGUUCCUGAAAUGGUACGAUGCACAGCAUCUGAAAAAUCUGGGUUGCUAAAGCAGAGGCGCAUUUCUGAUGCGAAGAGAAUUGACAAGAAGAAUGCUAGGUCUGGUGUCAGAUCUAAAUAUGAUUGUUUCACAUUAAAGUCUGGUUUAGGAAAUCAUGAUUCCAGUUUCGUGGGAAAUGGCAUGCUUGGGGCACAUGGCCUGAAAUCUGAUAUCCGUGACAUCACGAAUCACAUUGAGAACCUGACAUUGAGCGAACUUCUCGAUGGCACUUACAAAUAUUCCAGCUUAGGAAGAGAAAAAGGAAAGAAGGUACUGCACACAAAAGAUGAACUCCUAGUCUCUGUCAGAAAAGCUUUUUUUAUGCUAUCUGACAUGGACAGUAGUCCUGGAAAAGAUGGUAAUUUGACUCCUAGUCCUAGGCUGCAUUCAGCAACCACCUCAAGCUCUGAUAUCAAAGAUCAGUGUAGUGACAAACCGUCCUCUUUGAUUAAGGAUCCUUUACAAACUGAGGUCUGCAAUGUUUGCCCAAAGGACAUCCUAAGCCGUUUAACACUUCCCCAAGGACAUGAUCUUGAUUCUCUUUUAUCAGCUGGAAGCGAGAGCUCAGCUACAGGGCCUUCCAUGACAACUCAUGGAGCUAGUUUGCCACCAUUUACUUGGUCACACUCACAAGCUGGGGUUUACCGACCGAGCGUUGACUCUGGUAAACAUGGGUCAAGUAGGAGUAACUCCCAUUGGCAGUGGUUGAGAGUUGGAUCAUAUCCAACCGCUCAGGAUUACGAAGAUUUACCUGUCCAUCAAAUUGAUGAUCUUCUUCAGGAAAUGGAUAUGGCAAAGUCAUCUAUCAUUGAUUCAUGUAGCAGACAAUCUAAUUUAUGCUGCACGGAAUCAACUUCUGGAUCCCUCGGACAAACUAUUUACUCAAGAAAAACUGAAAGCGAGCAUGGUCCGCAGCAACUGCAUCCACUAGACCAUGUGGGCUCCUCAGAUAGCUUCCGGAGGAAUGACAGUGAACGUUCUCUUCUGAAAGCAUGUCAAGCAUCACGGAAGAUAUUGUGCGCAGCUGAGACCCUAUGUGAUAUGAGAAGAAGCACGGAAGGGUGGAGUCCCCAAGUAUAUAGCAAUGGGACAAUAAAUUUGCCAAAGUCACCUCCUGAUAAGGUGAAAGCCCGUAAGCCGUCAUCACCGUUUGGUACAGCUGAGAGCUCCUCGGGCUCUCGGAAUAGUGAUCCAGCUCGCAGCGGAAACCAUUCUACCAAGAAAGUGGUCGAUAGGAAGAACGAUUCUGCUGCGUGCAUGAGCAAUCCAGGGAAAGGGCUUAUUAGGUGGCCUGUUCCUAUUGAAGAUGCUGUAUCUCCUGUCAAACCCGAGAAGGGCCUUAUGCUUGAUAUGAGACAAAACCACAGCAAUGCCGCAAGGCAUCCGAUUCAUGUAUCGUCUCAGGCACGGCUUGAGAAGGAAUACGAGAACCAGCAGAAACUGAGGAAAGCAACAUUGGCCUCGUCUCUAGGAUCGGGAGACUGGAAUAAGGAGAGGAACAGGAGAUUGUGA
rnacentral:rRNA from 1 species